CAAAAGCAGAAAAAGUCUUCCUCCAUAUCCCUGGUCCAAAUGGCCAUUGCUCUGUAACCAGAUCAAAGAAGAGACAGUGGUUAAGGUUCGUUCCCAGAGGUGUGCCUAGUGUUUUUCAGUGACUUUUUGUUGCUGCAGAGCCAUUUCAUAGCUGACUUCAGGUGUGCAGUUUUCUAACUGCUCCAUGGUUCAAAGGAGUUCAGCCAUCCCUGACACUUGAACACAAACACUCUAGGAAUGUAUUAUUCAAAGCCUUUCUUCCUCUGCAUUUCAGAAAUAAAGGUGUAAACUUUCUUUAGAGGGAAGAGAAACACAUAUCUUUUCCUCUAGUAAGAAAAAGUGAAAGGCUAGUCUUCAAGCUUUAUAUCCUCUGAGAGUCUUUGCACGAGAGCAAAUGAGAAUUACUUGUGAUAACAUUCCCAUAUCCCUCUCCACAUCUGAGGAUGGUAAAACCAUUGAGGCGUGAUAUGUCGACACUUUGCUGCUGCAGUCGCCAGAGGGGCAGUGUAAUGUUACCACAGCAACUGCACGUCUUGUGUAAGACUCUCUAUCUCCUUGUGGAUAUAGAAACUAGCGAUAAAGUUUUACCAGGUUUUUUAAAGAUUUAUGAUGCUUCUCCAAUAGCAGAUCCAGGAACAGGGCUGCAUCCUGUGCCAGGGUUCCCCAUCUGACUCGCAAAGAACUCUUCCCCCUCCCUACCUCUGCCUGAACAAGAACUGAUUAAAGGAAGGACUUACAAAAGACAAGGAAGAUGCAGUGGGAGGCACACCUAAAGCCCUCCAGACAAGGGGGAUAUGAGUGAAGCAACUCCCCUGGUCUCAUUUGCAUCUGAGAUGGAACCAGAUGACAACUCAUUUAAAUGGGAGAUGGGUCAGGCAUGCACCUUCACUAGCAUUCAGGAUGGAGAACAGAGAUUCCAAGGCAAGGACCACACUGAAUGUUGGGAUCAGAAAAGCAGGGGAGCACUGCAUGAUGGGGAAUCCUUACUCCAAAUGCUAAUCAGCCCACAUCUACACACACCCAGCUCAGCAUUUAUCAGACCAAUUCUAGUAAUGACUCCUCUAUUGGUACCCAAAACAUUGAAUCUGCCUGUCUAUUGUGAGCUCCCUCAGGGUAAUGCUGCCCAUAGCCAGGAGUGAUCACUUCCUGUUAUCCAGCAUAUGAGCCAUUGUUUACCCCUAAACAAACCUAGCAUUCUCCCUUGAGCCAUUGUUGGUUCUCUACAAAAACCCUACCCAAGCUCAAGUUUCUGUCCUUGUGCUUGGAUCCAGAAGUUGCAGCAGUUCCACUCCUUUUCUGCCUGGCAUCCCUCCACUGAUCAUGCUGAGAUCAUCUGCCUGUCUGCAAGCUUCAACAAACACCUGGGAACCUCGACUGGUUCAAGCUUUGCUGCGUAGUGAGACCCCAACUCUCUCUCUGCCUCUGCCUCCAGCAACCUGGCUUUUAUUCUCUUACUCCAGGCACAGCUUUCUAAACCUGACUUUUGCUAAUCAAACUGGAGCUAGACUUCCCCAAAAGCCUAAUUGAAACUAUGUAAUAUUGUAACUGUUUAUUUGUCUCUCUUGUAUGGCUAUUAUUACUGGUAUCAUCAUAAGUUCAUAUACCUGGCAAUAAAUAACUUAUAUGGUCAA